GAUGAACGCUGGCGGCGUGCUUAACACAUGCAAGUCGAACGGUGAAGCAGGAGCUUGCUCUUGUGGAUCAGUGGCGAACGGGUGAGUAACACGUGAGCAACCUGCCCCUGACUCUGGGAUAAGCGCUGGAAACGGCGUCUAAUACUGGAUAUGUGAUGUGACCGCAUGGUCUGCAUCUGGAAAGAAUUUCGGUUGGGGAUGGGCUCGCGGCCUAUCAGCUUGGUGGUGAGGUAAUGGCUCACCAAGGCGUCGACGGGUAGCCAGCCUGGGAGGGUGACAGGCCACACUGGGACAGGGACACGGCCCAGACUACAACGGGAGGCAGCAGGGGGGAAUAUUGCACAAUGGGCGGAAGCCUGAUGCAGCAACGCCGCGUGAGGGAUGACGGCCUUCGGGUUGUAAACCUCUUUUAGCAGGGAGGAAGCGAGAGUGACGGUACCUGCAGAAAAAGCACCGGCUAACUACGUGCCAGCCGCCGCAGUAA
rnacentral:rRNA from 1 species